GCGGCACAGUGAAGAGAGAGAAAGAGACGGGGACAGAGGAGAGAGAAACCCCAGGUCUCGCCGCCUCGCCUUCAUCCGCUUUCGCCUCGCCGCCUCCGCGCCGCCCUCCGUUUCGAGGAGGAGGAGGAGGGGGAGCUCCAGUGCUCGCGCCGCAGCGGCGGCGGCGGCGCCGGGUGCCUGCGCGAAGGCCUCGAGAUCUCGCGGCGGCGCCGCCGGCUUUGUGUGGUGGUUGUGGUGGGUGCGGCGCCGUCUGCUCGGUGAGUUGGCUCGAUCUCUCGCCGCGGCGCUUCCAAUUGAGCUGCUCCGCCCCCCGAAUCGAGGGUUUUGGAGGCCUCCUGCUCUUGGCGGCCGUGCAAUAAACUAACCUCUCGCUUCGGGGGGGUUAGGGUUAGGUUUUGGCUGAAUUGUGGUGGAUUUGGGUGACCCAGGCGGCGCAUUGCGCUCGCGAGCAGACUGGUCUGCGUGUUCCGCCACGCAAUGAUGGGGAAGACGCAGAAGUUCUCCAAGGGGCACCCGCUCGGUUUCGUGCCGGACUACCGAUAUGGGGUGGAAACUGUGGGGGUGUCAAAGGGCCUUGGGAAUCCUGCAAGAAGUGAAGCCAAGAGAAAAUGCAUCAACCUGAAUACGGACGAGGGGGCUGAUGCUCCCGGAUUUAAUGUGCCGCGUGUGGUCUUUGAGUUGCCGAGGAUGUCGGCCUCGGAUAGGAAUGAGCUGGAGAUGAGGCUCCGCGACGAGCUCGAGCAGGUCAGGGCCCUCCAGAGUAGGUUGUUUUCAAGAGGGGCUACGACGAGCAUGAAUGGUGGGACUGCGUCGGCUCCCAGAGGUGAUUUCAACGGCAAUAAAAAGGAUGGGAAGCUCAGGAGGAGCAAUUCAGUGCAGUCUGGCAGAGGAUUACCGCCAUCAGUUGCCCAACCUGUAGUCAGCUCCAUUAACUACACAGCAUCGUUUAAAAAAUGCCAGGAGCUUCUGAAGAACCUUAUGAAGCAUCGCUCUGCAAGCCCGUUUGUUAUGCCAGUUGAUCCUGUGAAGUUGUGUAUCCCUGAUUAUUUUGAUAUAGUCAAGCACCCAAUGGAUUUGGGUACUAUACAGAAAAAGCUGAAUGCAGGUGUGUACCCUACACCUUGGGAGUUUGCCGCAGACGUGAGGCUUACUUUUAGCAACGCUAUACUUUAUAACCCAGUCGGUAAUGCAGUUAACAUAAUGGCCCAGACUAUGAGCAGUGUUUUUGAACCUAGAUGGAAGCCUAUCGAAAAGAAGCUUCCUCGACCAGAUGAGGAACUCUCUGCAAUUGAGCCUUCAAAAAAUGAUGCAGUUGAGAAAAAUAUUGUUGACAACAAAGAGCCUUUUGAUAGAAGACCUUCAAAUAAAGGUGCAUAUAAGAAAAACACCUUUCAAAAAGAGGAGGUGGUUGCCAAGCCAGUUUUGCACCCGAAGAAGAGGAAAGCCUCUCCUUUGGUUCAGGAUGCUCCAGUAGCAUCAGUGAUACAGAUGGCUCAGGUGGCUGAGGAGGUUCCAGUGGUACAAACUGCUAUGGGAAUGAUGACAGAUGAACAAAAGGUUGCUCUAAGCGUAAGACUACAAUCAUAUGGUGGAUUCAUUCCAGAACAUGUAGUUGAGUUCAUAAAGAGGCAUGUUAAUGAUGAUAAUGAUGCUGAUGAAGAUGAGUUGACUAUUGACAUGAACGCUCUCAGCGAUGAUACCCUGUUUGAAUUACAGAAGCUUCUUGAUGACUAUGAUAUAGUAAAUCAGUCUGGAAACCCUACAAAAGAUGAGCCUCAAGAGGUUGAGUUCCAAAGUGAAUAUGGACUUGCCAACUCAUCAAUGCAUCAUGAAGGCAAUGAGCUUGUUGAGGAAGACAUUGAUAUUGGUGGGAACGAUCUUCCACCUUUAACAUACCCCCCUGUGGUAUUUGAAAGUGAAACGGCAGACAGAAGCAGCAAGCAUAGUUCUUCUAGCAGUUCUAGUAGUGAGUCAGGAUCAUCCUCCAGUGGUUCGGAUUCGAGUAGCUCUUCUGGAAGUGAUUUGGGUGCCAAAGUUCCUUCGGCAAACAUCGGGGCUAAGGAGAACGUACUACCCGUGUUUAGCUUGGACCAGGAGAACGAUUCACAGGAUACAUUGAAUAUACAAGAACAAUGUGCUGACCGUGUACCUAUUUCUGCUGAUGAUGAGGAGGAGAACGUGUCUGAUAAAAAAUACCGAGCUGCCCUUUUGAAAAGCCGCUUCGCUGAUACAAUUCUCAAAGCUCGUGAGAAGGCUCUUGAUCAGGUGAAGGAUCCUGAGAAAGUUCGGCGCGAGAGGGAGGAGCUUGAAAGGUUACAAAGGGAAGAGAGAGCUCGGUUACAAGCUGAGGCUAAAGCUGCUGAGGAAGCUCGCAAGAGGGCUGAAGCAGCAGCUGCUGCUGAGGCUGCUGCAGAAGCUAAACGCCAAAGAGAACGUGAAAGAGAAGCAGCUCGUAAAGCCUUGCAGCAGAUGGAGAAAACUGUAGAAAUCAAUGAAGGGAACCUCUUCCUGAAAGAUUUUGAAAUGCUUGGAACAGUCACAGGUGAACAGAAUCUCAACUUGGUCGGUGAAAUGAGUCCAAGCCAUACACCUGAGCCCCUCGGAUUUCAACUUGGGGGCAACCCCCUAGAACAGCUUGGAUUGUAUAUGAAAAAUGACGACGAAGAAGACGAGGAAGUCGAGUCCGCAGAUGAACCAACAGUUGAUGUUGAGGAGGGCGAAAUAGACUGACAGAUUAUGGUGCAUUUUCAGUGAUAAUCUGAGUGGAGCCUGUGGCGUGACUGGACCGGAUAACUGUUUUUUGAUGUUUUUGAUAUAUGAAGGGCACAUCACCCUGGCGGUUCCAUUCCUCUACAGAACUUAUGAGCUGCACAAGUUUUUGGAGCAAAAUAUGGUUGAUCAAAUGUAGUAGCAGGCAUUGGAACCAGUCUUCAUGCAUGCGGGGUCCCAUGGAGUCAGCCCAUCUUUGUAUGGGUUCAUUGUUAGCCAUGAUGAAGUAAUGGACGCCCCUGUGCUUUUCUGGAUGGAUAUCUGGAAGAUGAUACUGAGGGAAAGGGGGUUGUUAGGGGGGGAUGGGUGGGGUUGAGGUGGGGUGCGUCCCUGGCUCUUAGAACAACUAAUGUGAGCCGUUUUGGGGUAGUUUCGGUGACAUUUCAUGUUGUGAAUGUAAUCCUGGAAACUGUACAAAGAGGUUGCCUGAUAGAUGGAAAACCGUUCUUUUUUCUUCUG
rnacentral:rRNA from 1 species